rnacentral:rRNA from 1 species
GGCACAACGGGACUCUACGGGAGGCAGCAGUGGGGAAUAUUGCACAAUGGGCGCAAGCCUGAUGCAGCCAUGCCGCGUGUAUGAAGAAGGCUUCGGGUUGUAAAGUACUUUCAGCGAGGAGGAAGGCAUUAAGGUUAAUAACCUUGGUGAUUGACGUUACUCGCAGGAGAAGCACCGCU